rnacentral:rRNA from 1 species
AGCGAACGCUAGCGGCGGGCCUAACACAUGCAAGUCGAACGCGUACCUUCGGGUACGAGUGGCGAACGGGUGAGUAACACGUAGGUAUCUGCCUUUCGGUGGGGGAUAACCCGGGGAAACUCGGGCUAAUACCGCAUAUGGUCUACGGAUCAAAGCCUUCGGGCGCCGGAAGAUGAGCCUGCGGCCCAUUAUUUAAUCCUAGUUGGCGGGGUAACGGCCCACCAAGGGUACGAUGGGUAGCUGGUCUGAGAGGAUGAUCAGCCACACUGGAACUGAGACACGGUCCAGACUCCUACGGGAGGCAG